GGACAUCAUAUACCAAGGUGACCAGGAGAGAGAGAAAGAAAUUAAAGUGAAUGGGUGAUUUAAUGUGUGCUGCUAUCCGUCAGAGAAAGUUCCUCUCCACUUUAAUCGGUUCCGUACACAGAUGAAAGCAGGCACCGUGACAUGGAAGGAGAGGCAGCUUGAGACAAAGGAGAUCCUGGUGGAAACUGUCCAUGGGGCAAGAUUACUGAUUCUCUUUGCCUAAAGAUGUCAUGAAGACCAGUGCAGUUAAGUUCCUUGGGAAAAAAAUCUAUAAAACAAAGGAAGAUCAGCCCUGAGCUAACCUCUGCUGCCAAUUCUCCUCUUUUUGCUGAGGAAGACUGGCCCUGAGCUAACAUCCGUGCCC
rnacentral:lncRNA from 1 species